UACGUAGGGGGCAAGCGUUACUCGGAUUUACUGGGCGUAAAGCGCGUGUAGGCGGCUGGUCAAGCGUGAUGUGAAAUCUCCGGGCUCAACCCGGAAACUGCAUCGCGAACUGGCCUGGCUAGAGUGCAGGAGAGGGCGGCGGAAUUCCCGGUGUAGCGGUGAGAUGCGUAGAUAUCGGGAGGAACACCAGUGGCGAAGGCGGCCGCCUGGCCUGUAACUGACGCUGAGACGCGAAAGCGUGGGGAGCGAACCGG
rnacentral:rRNA from 1 species